rnacentral:lncRNA from 1 species
GAAUUAAAGAGCAAUAGCCAGCAUACUGUGGCCUACGUUAAGAUAUUGGAAUUAAUUUGUGUCUGCACUGCUGAGUUCCCACGCUGUUGGACACGGCAAAGAGGCGAAGAGAGAAAAAGGUGCAUAUACGAAGCUCCCGCCAUUUAUUAAUGCGACAAAAGUUGUUCCUAUUCAAAAGUCCCUUUAGGACAUCUUGCGAGACAUGGUCUGGAGUAAUUUCAAGAAACAGAGAGGGAAGAAGGAAUAAGAGGGGCCAAGAAAAGAUCCAGAGAGAGAGACCUCACACAACGGAGCGAAAGGAGAGAGGGAUGCGGACUAUCACAGAAGCCAGAAGGAAGGAACUUCCAACAUGCAGACGAAAUGCAUCACCUCCUCACACACGUAUGUCAUUUCCUCAAAGGCAUGGAGCUAGUUGUCUGCGGGAUCCUCUUCAGCUCUGAGAACUGACUGUAAACUCCGAGGGAAGCGAUCGUGCUCUGCUGUUCACUUCUGCACCGCAGUCCCUGGGAUGGGACUUAGCACGAUCCACGCCCCGUAAACGUUUGUGAAAUGAAUAGAGGCGUUGUGUGAAAAGUAUUUUUGUAUGGAAAUGAAGGAAGGAAGGAUGGAAAAAUGGAAAUAAGAAAAGAACAAAAAAGGAAAGAAGGAAGAAAGAACUCUACAAGGACUCUCAUAUGGCUAAUCUUCACAUUCAGCUGGAGGAACCCUUACGCCUAUAUUACAGCUUCUUGUUGCCCCAGUGUUUUUAAGAAAAACAGUGAAAACGAAUGGCCUGAGAGAGUCAGCAGACACUGACGCGGGCUCUGCCCUGCCACAGUGCCGAUGUUCUCUGGGCUAACAAGGGAGCAGGGCUGGAGGGUCUCUGAUGUUCC